CAAUUACNAAGCGAAACUGCGAAUGGCUCAUUAUAUAAGUUAUCGUUUAUUUGAUAGUACCUUACUACAUGGAUAACCGUGGUAAUUCUAGAGCUAAUACAUGCUGAAAAUCCCGACUUCGGAAGGGAUGUAUUUAUUAGAUUCAAAACCAAUGCCCUUCGGGGCUCCAAUGGUGAUUCAUGAUAACUUCUCGAAUCGCACGGCCCCGCGCCGGCGAUGGUUCAUUCAAAUUUCUUCCCUAUCAACUUUCGAUGCUACGGUAGUGUCCUAGCAUGGUUGCAACGGGUAACGGGGAA
rnacentral:rRNA from 1 species